AUUUCAGACUUCCGAUGGCUAACCACUUCAAACUGUCCAAAUAUUUUCCAUCAGGUGUUUGUCCGUCCACUUCCUUCAGGUUGUCUGCACCUCUCCAUUGAUAGCAUUUCUUGAGACCUUUAUCCAGUGCUAUUUACCAAUUACAGCUAGCUUUUUGGUUCUGAUUUACUUGUCUAAAGCCUGAGCACUUGCCAUAGUAUCAUAGGUAAGACACUGGCCACCCAAAGCCAUAGUAUCCUGUUCAUAUUCUGUGCAGACCUUGCAAAGAAAUCCUCAGCUUCUCAUAUAAUUUAAAUAAGUAUUUUGUGAAGUCCUAACAAAAUUAUCAUAAUGUGAAAGUAUUAGCAGACAAGUAGAUAUCUUAGUAUAUUUUUUAUUAUCAUUACCGUAAAUUUAUUCACGCUUGAUGGACAAUAUUUCAGUUAAUGUGUUUACCAAAGAGAAUCAAUUUAUUGGCUGUUGAUCUAUGCUAUGCACUUGUUCUUCCUGUGUCAUUUAUUAUUUCAACAAUGUUUUACUUGGCUGGUGAUAUAUGAUUUGCAGCCUCUCUUUUUUUUUCUUUUUGCUUGUGGAUGUUGGAUAUAGGCAUGUACAUAGAUGGACAAUAAUCAGCAUGAAUUCCUUUAUUACUGUAUGUGGAGGCAAAAGGCCCUAGCUGUUCUUGUUCUACUGUUGGUCUUCUGGUGGAGGAACCAAAAUGACAAGAGGACUAGAGCCAAACGUGUAAAGUAUGCUCCUCUUAUGCAGAGGGAUAUCUGGCGUAGUAGUGAACUAAUUAGGUUGGUUGACACCUCCGACGGAAUAUGUAUGCGCGAGCUGAGGAUUGCCCGGUCUGUGUUCUACAAGCUUUGUUCUGGGCUUAGGGACAGGGGGCUAUUACUUGAUACAUUUCAUGUUUCAGUGGAGGAGCAAGUGGCUAUGUUUUUGAAGAUUGUUGGGCAAUGUCACACACACUCCUCUGUAGCCAUUGCACAGUGGAGAUCUGGAUGGACAGUUAGUAGAUAUUUUAACGUCGUCUUACGUGCCCUUGUGAAGUUGGCUCCUGAACUAAUUUAUAUUAGAUCAACUUCCACACAUCCUAAGAUCACCAACAGCCCAAACGGAUUUUAUCCAUAUUUUGAGGGAUGUAUAGGGGCACUUGAUGGCACUCACAUCAGGGCAUGUGCACCUGCUAAAUUUGUGGAUAGGUUUAGGGGGCGCAAGUCGUACCCCACACAAAAUGUCUUAGCGGUUGUCGACUUUGAUCUGCAUUUCACUUUUGUCCUAGCUGGGUGGGAGGGGUCUGCUCAUGAUUCUCAUUUGCAUGAUGCCCUGACUCGUCCAAAUGGGCUCAAAAUCCCAGAAGGGAAAUUCUAUUUGGCUGAUGCUGGAUAUGCCACUAGGCCAGGCAUAGUGCCACCCUAUCGCGGUGUUCGCUAUCACCUAAAAGAGUUUCACGGAGCCCAUGACCCAAAAUGUCCAAAAGAGCUUUUCAAUCAUCGCCAUUCCCAACUUAGGACAACAGUUGAGCGGGCAUUUGGCGCUCUCAAGAAUCGCUUCAAAAUUCUUAGUAAUAAGCCAUUCAUACCCCUGAAGUCACAGCCAAAGGUGGUCAUUGCCUGUUGUGCCCUUCAUAAUUGGAUACUGGAUGAUGGAGCUGAUGAGUUCAUAUAUGAUGAGCCAACUUGGUAUGGCCAUCUACCUAGGAGUAGAAAUCGUGUCACCGAUCGAGAGGCUGAUGUACGUGAGUGGGCUACCAAGCGUGAUUCAAUUGCCCAGCAGAUGUGGAAUGAUAGACUUAACAAUAAUGUUACCGUUGAAAAUUAGUGUGUAUUAGCUGCAGCUGCCAUCUUUUGGGUUAGUUUGGACAGUUAAUAUCGUUUCUGUUUGUGUACUUUGGUGGCUGUGUAGCCAUUUGGUCUGCAUACAAUAGCACUGAACUUGUGCUUUGCAAUUUAAUAAUAUGUUUGCUUAGUGGUGUAACUUUCUUCUGUUCAACCACAACAUCGUUUGUUAUAUACUUAAUAUGGUUUGAAACUUAUUGUGAACUUUCAUUUAUAGCAUGGUUAAGAAAAACAAAGUUGGAAGUGCUGAUGUUGUAUAUCGUGAGAAGUACAAAACAUGGACUGAUGACAGCACUGAGUUUAUGCUUCAGUGGUAUGUUGACUACCAAAAGGACAAACCUGCUACCUUUAGGUGGAAGCAACACCACCAUCAUCUGUGUGUAGAAGCUUUGAAUGCCAGAUUUGGAAUAGGAGCUACCAGACAUCAAGCUUAUCGUCAGUUCAGGGCAUUAAAGGAGAAGUGGAACUGGAUAAGCCAAGCUUUGGCCAAGAGUGGCAAUGGUUUUGAUGCAGCGUCUCGCAAGUUCAAUCUACCAUAUUCAGAGAAACCACCUUCCAAGCUUGGGACUUUGAAAUACAACUAUCUUACUCGACCUAUCAAAUUCUUCCAGCUCAUGGAAGAGCUAUUUGGAGAAUCUGGCCAAGCUAAUGGAUCCUUAGCUAUUGACCAAUACACUUCAGAUGCAGAAGAUGAUAGAUCUGAAACAGAGACUGAUGAUUCAUUUACUGUUGAGCAUGGUGAGAAUAAUUCUGACACUAUUGCUCGUAGCAAUUCACCUGAUCUAGCCUUCAGUUCUAGUCUCAAGCACAAAAACAUGAAAUCGCCUAUGAAGAAGCUUCGAAAGCACAAAGAAAAACGUGCCAACGCACUAGAGAAUGAUAAAAUUGCAUCAAGUAUUGUCAUGCUGGCCAAUUCUGUUGCAUCCACUGCCCCUGCACCUGCUGAUCCUUAUGCUAAUCUUUGGAAGCGUAUUGAGGAUAUACCUUUCCCACCACGGGAUAAGGUUGAUAUUGCAACCUUUCUUUCCAAGCCGGAGCAGAUGUACUUGCGCAACUACUUGAAUGCUGCAUCUGAUCAGUCAUUUGGAUCCUGGGUAACUGAUUACUUAGGUGCCUAGUAUGGUGCUAGUGGUGGGUAUGCAUGUGAAUAUGGUAGCUCUGAGUGAAUAUGGAUGCUGCAGCUUUUGGUAUUUUGGACGUGCUGUAGGUGGACAUCAUAUCGAUGCACUUGCUUGUGCUAUUUUGGAAGUGUUGUCGGUUGACAGGAGCAUGUUUCUGUAACUUGUGCGACGUAGAACUACUGUAGGUGGUCAAGAAAGAUGUACUCCUCCAGCAUAAUAUUAUUUUGUGCUAAUCAAGGUGGCUGGACUUCAUGAACUCAUUUGUAUAAUAUGUAAAUAUAUCAUCAGUAGGCCCGAACAGUUAUGUAAAUGACAUGUUCUAAUAUUAUAUGAUAGCAUGAAUCAUGGACA